GUUAAUAUCAUGGCAUCUGCUAUGUCUGGGCUCUCACAUGGCUGUUAUAAGAGCUUGUGUUUCCAGAAAACAAGACAACACUAUUCAAACUCUCAUCUUUUCAGUGAUGAAAGGGAUCCUGAGACACUGAAUAAUAAUUAUAAUAAUUGCUAA
rnacentral:lncRNA from 1 species